UCGAGAAUAGUCUACAAUGGUCGAAAGACUGAUAGUGCGACGCCGCGUGAACGAAGAAUCCCUUCGGGGUGUAAAGUUCUUUUUUAAUCGAGCAAUGCCUUUUAUGUGAUAAGCAUGAGAGGAGAGAUAUUAGGUUAAGAAUAAGCAACGGCUAACUCCGUGCCAGCAGCCGCGGUAACACGGGGGUUGCAAGCGUUGUCCGGAAUUACUAGGCGUAAAGGGCAGGUAGGCGGAUAUAUAAGUUUUGUGUUAAAGGCAUCGGCUUAACCGGUGUAAGGCAUAGGAUACUGUAUAUCUGGAAUGCGGUUGAGGAAGACAGAAUUCCUGGUGUAGCGGUGGAAUGCGCAGAGAUCAGGAGGAAUACCAAAGGCGAAGGCAGUCUUCUAAGCCGAUAUUGACGCUAAACUGCGAAGGUGUGGGUAUCAAACA
rnacentral:rRNA from 1 species